rnacentral:rRNA from 1 species
AGAGUUUGAUCCUGGCUCAGAUUGAACGCUGGCGGCAUGCCUAACACAUGCAAGUCGAACGCGAAAGGGCUUUGGCCUGAGUAGAGUGGCGGACGGGUGAGUAACGCGUGGGAAUCUGCCCUGCAGUGGGGGACAACCCGGGGAAACUCGGGCUAAUACCGCAUACGUCCUAAGGGGGAAAGGGGGCCUUUUGGCUCUCGCUGCAGGAUGAGCCCGCGUCCGAUUAGCUAGUUGGUAGGGUAAUGGCCUACCAAGGCGACAAUCGGUAGCUGGUCUGAGAGGAUGAUCAGCCACACUGGGACUGAGACACGGCCCAGACUCCUACGGGAGGCAGCAGUGGGGAAUAUUGGACAAUGGGCGCAAGCCUGAUCCAGCAAUGCCGCGUGUGUGAAGAAGGCCUGCGGGUUGUAAAGCACUUUCAGUGGAGAAGAAGGGCGCGGGGUUAAUACCCCCGGGUCUGACGUAUCCACAGAAGAAG